UUCUUUGCCUCUGUCAGCCUCCUCCUCCUCCGGAUCCGACUCUAGCUCGGCUCCUCUCGCUCUCUCCUCCUUCAGGUCCGUGACUACAAGUGGAUUCUAGAGCUCGGGUUUUCACUGUUCUCCCUCGAAGCUGGUUGCUCACUCCUCCCUCAAAGCUCGUCGUCCCUCGAAUCUCGUCGUCGAAUCCUCCGUCGAAGCUCGUCGUCCCUCGAAUCUCGUCGUCGACUCCUCCCUCGAAUUUCGUCGGAUUUUGUGUCGGCUUUGGGGAAAUCGCUGCCUUUCUUAGGGGAUUUCGUCGGAUUUUUGCUUGAUUUGUUGGAUUUCGGCAAUUACAGUUUUCGUAUUAAUAGAAUGAGUUUGAUCUCACAAAACGCCUUUAUCAACAAGAAAGAGAAGCAAGAUGAAGAACCAGCCAAUGAGUCCUCACUCGCCAUUGCCGAGGGGGGGAACGAAUUGGGAGAGAAGCCCGAGUCACUGGCCUCGAAGAAGAAGAAGAACAGGAAGAAAAGAAACAGAGAAAUUGAUGAGAAAUCGAGACUGGAGCAAGAGAGAGAGAUGAAGAGGCUUGAGAGUUCUCUGUUUGGAACUCUCUAUUCUCUGCCGGAGUUCGGAAAGGAAGCUGAAGUUGGGUUCGUUCUGCAAAAGUCAGCUGGUGACGAGAUGGUUGUAUAUAAAGAGAAUUUGGAUGCUCAAGUCGAAGAAGAAGAAGAUGUUAAAGCUGAGAGAGAGCCUGUUUGGGUUGACGAAGAGGAGGAGAAGGCAGAGAUCAAUAUAUUGAAGGUUAGAAGGCUGAGGAAAUUGAGAAAGGAAGCUGAAGAGGAACUGAUCUCAGGGAAGGACUAUGUUGCGAGGCUACGAGCUCAGCAUGCCAAAUUGAACCCCGGAACUGAAUGGGCACAAAUUGAUCGAAAAGAUAACAAUAUUGUUGAUUCUGAUGAUGAAUCUGAUAGUGGAAGUGGUGUCACUGUUGGCGAUGAUGUCCUUCGUUACAAUGAUGAGCUUGUGGUGAAGAGUGAUGUAAAGCUGCUCCCUGGUUUAUUGGAGUACUCGAGGUUGAUGGAUGCUAAUGGUGAGGAGCCCUCAAAUGGUCCUAUUAACUCUGUCCAUUUUCAUAGAAAUGGGCAAUUGCUACUCACUGCUGGGUUAGACAAAAGAUUGAGUUUCUUUCAAGUCGAUGGAAAACGAAACACCAAAGUCCAGAGUAUGUUCAUUGAGGACUGCCCGAUACACAAAGCUUCAUUCUUGCCCGAUGGUUCUCAGGUGAUUUUAUCAGGGAGAAGAAAGUUUUUCUAUACUUUUGAUUUGGUUAAGUCAGCGGUUGAUAAGAUUGGUCCCUUAACAGGUAGAGAGGAGAGGAGUUUAGAAGUGUUUGAGGUUUCUCCUGAUUCAAAAACUAUUGCAUUCAUCGGCAACGAAGGGUAUAUCCUUUUGGUUUCUUCUAGAACUAAGGAGCUUAUAGGGACGUUGAAAAUGAAUGGAACUGCUCGGUCUUUGGCUUUUGUUGAUGGUGGCCAGCAGCUAAUGAGCAGUGGUGGAGAUGGGCAAGUUUAUAGUUGGGAUCUUAGAAUGAGGAGGUGCAUUCAUAAGGCAGUUGAUGAAGGAUGCAUCACUGGUUCAGCUCUAUGUGCUUCCCCGGACAACACUUUUUUCGCUGCUGGAUCGAACAGUGGAAUCGUGAAUAUUUACAAAAGAGAAGAGUUUCUUGGGGGUAAGAGAAAACCGUUGAAGACUAUUGAGAGUCUAACGACAACAGUCAAUUUUAUGAAAUUUAACCACGAUGCUCAAAUAUUGGCUAUAUGUUCAAACAUGAAGAAGAACAGUUUGAAGUUGGUUCAUAUUCCAUCGUUCAGUGUCUUUUCCAACUGGCCUGCUCCGAGAUUUAGCUUGCAGUAUCCUCGGUGUUUGGAUUUCAGUCCGGGUGGUGGUUUUAUGGCCUUUGGCAAUGCUGCUGGCAAGGUUUUGCUUUACAAGUUGCAUCAUUACCAGAAGGCGUGAAGCUUAGGGAGAUAUGGUGAUAAACUUGUACUGUCACUUUUGUCCGAUCCGCUCACUAGUUGAAUCUGGUUCAAUGCAAGUAAAAGAUCAGAUGUGAGACUUCAUUAUGGGGCUCGAAAUCUCCAGAGAAUGGCUUAUCAGGAUAGGUUCAAGGCUUGGGAAGCUACAGGGUUGAAAGUUGUACCUGUUUUAUCACGACCAGAUGCUAUAUGGAAAGGUGAAAGAGGCUACAUACAGGUAAGCAGGUGAAAGAGGCUACGUACAGGCUGCAUUUUCUAAGGCCAAGCAGAUUAUAGAUCCUUUAUCGACAGGAGCAGUGCUCUGCGGACAUGGACAGAUGACUGAGACUUGGAAUGGAAGCUCAUCUAUGUUGGAUCUGCCGAGGAUGAGACAUAUGACCAACUUCUUGAAAGUGUUCUUGUCGGCCCUGUAAAUGUCGCCAAGUAUCGUUUCGUCUUUGAGGCAGACCCUCCAGACCCUUCGAAGAUCUGAGAUGAAGGCAUCAUAGGUGUUACAGUUCUUCUACUCACCUGCUCUUAUUUGGGCCAAGAGUUCAUCAGAGUAGGAUACUAUGUUAACAAUGAUUAUGAUGAUUAACAACCCAGAUUAGAAUCACCAUCAAAAGUAUUAAUCAAUAGAGUUCAAAGAAACAUCCUCGCUGAUAAACCUCGUUACCAAGUUCCCUAUUAAUUUUCAGCCUGAUUCCAAUGAAAACGGCGAACAAGAGCCUCCUGCAUCUUUACCUGAGAAUCAUCCUACUGAUGAUCCUCCACCUGAAGAUUCGCCCCCUUUCCCUGACAAUGAAGGCUAAAAAGCUUAUAAAAUUGAGAGUUUUGAUAGAAUUGAAGCGUUUAACAUCUGACUGUAUCCUUGGUGAUGAAAUUUUUGUGUUUCACUGGAUGGGCAGUUUAUAUAAAUAUCUACUUUUAAAGCUUUUUUGUGA